GAAGGAGUUUUAAUAAAUCUACUUAUGAAAGUUGUUUGGACCCUUUUCUUUUAUUAUAUUUUGGUCUUCCCCUAUAUAUUAUAACAGCAUGUGACCAACAUUUAACCCUAUAUAUGUAUCCAGUUUUUACUCUAACCAGAAAAUCGGUUACAUUAUCUAAAUUUGUACCAUUUAAAUCGAUCACUAAAACAUUAUACCAAAACUAUAAGCCACUACGAUUUCUAAACAUGUCACAUUAAUACCAAGAUUAUAAAAAUUACGCUUAUGAAACUUAUACGAAUUAUACUUCAUCAUGCGAUUGCUAAACUUCUGUUUGUUAAAAUCAAAAACCUUCUUGGAUGGUCUCAUGUUGUCCUUGCAUGUCUUCUCUUCCUGAAACAAAAGAACUCAUAUGUCGACACACUUCUUGAAAUAUCACUUAUUAAAAAAUCAAACAUGACUGUAUUAAAGACCUAAACCACCAUAGUUUUCACAUGAUCAUACCGCAUUAUUCACAUAUUAUAUUAUACAUGAUGUAAUAUUUACGGAUUCAUCACAUAUUAUGUUAUAAAAUAUAUACGAUUAACUUCAAAUACAUAAAAAUGGUACAAUUUGAAAAAGAUUGUUUCUAAUCACAAAUUUAAACGAUAAGGUUUGUUCCUAUAUCACAAUUUUAAAUUUUAAAAUUUAAAAUCAUAACAAAAUAUGUAAACAAGAACGAAUAUAGUGUGAAUAUGCUAACUAGAUAUAUUCUUAGAUUUGUUGUCAACAAUAUAUACGAUUAUCAAACAAAACAAAAAACACAAAAUAAUUAAAUAACUUGGUCUACAAGGCUUUUUAUUAUGACAGAAAUACAUAAUUUUCCUUAUUUCUAUCAAACAAAAUAUCUAAUCAAUUCUACUUAUAUUCUCUACCAAGAUUUUUGGUUACCUACAUUGAUUACCAAAUAUUAUAUCCGAGCUUCUCUUAACCUUCAUCGACUACAUACCUCUCUUAUUAUAAAUACUGACCAUCUUGAUAUCCUUUUAACAUCAACUCUAUCAAAACAAAAAAAACAUCAGAAAAAAAAAGCAAACAAACUAUUCCAAAAACAUGGUUAAACUGACCAUCUCGAUUCAGAUGUCAUUCUUGAAAGACGUCGAACCACACAAGACGGUUUGACGUGUACAAGUGAAAGUGAGUGGAGACAAUGGAAUAAAAUUGCUGGUGAUUCACUGGAAGUAAUCCUAUCGAAUGUACAUGUAAGUGUGUUUUCCUCUAUAUAGAUUUGCGAUUAUAGAUCUCUAUGUUUAUUUUUAUUUUAAAGAAAUACACUAACAGAAAUAUUUUCAUUAAUAUUUUUUAAAGGGUACGAAAAAGCUAUGUCUCAUGCAAAAAGACUUACAUGGGUGAAUUGGCUAACACGGUUCUUUGCUUUACUUCAAAUACCCGAUGAUUCAUUGAUACUUAUCUCUAUUUACAAAAUAAAAAUGGAAAAGUAGAACAUUCUUCAAGCGGUAUGAAGAAGAAAUAAGGGAGAGAAGAUUUACCCGUUCAGAUCUUAGAGGAACCACUCGGCGGCGAACUCCUACGAAACAAUGAAUCACCGUCGGAGAUUUUUUUUUUAACUUUCGAU
rnacentral:lncRNA from 1 species